UGUCAGAGUAGGGUCAAGAAGAUUAGGCUAAACAUUAAUAGAACAAUUUAUGAAAUGGUAGCACAAGGUUUUCUAUGCUGAGUCAUCAACCCUUGGCAUAGACCUUUGGGUAGAGAGAUAAAGGGAAAAUCCUGGAAUCAUUUUAGAAACAAGACAAUGCAGCAAUAUUGGAAUGUUGGCAAGCAGUAGAUGGAUUAACUUGGAUGGGUCAAAUGGCCUCCCUCAUCCUUGAGCGUGAGACAGAAAGAAAAAAAAAACUCAACUAAGCUGUCUCACUUCAAUGUUAUCUAACAAUUUCUACUGGAAAUUCGUAGAUAGAUGAAUGUUGAAGACUGGGCAGAAAGACAGCUUUGGUCUUGGUUGUGACACUACCAUGUUAGGGGGGUGCCUGUCAGUACUCCCUUUCUAAGAUCACAAAGCACUUCAAUAAUUGCAAAACUGUACUCCAAUAAGGAGCCAAUACCAUCAGAAAAGGAAGGAAAGAAGGUGAAAAUAUUGUGAUAAAAUUCAUUAGAAAAAUCAUUUGAAUUCAUAAAUAGAUUUAACUUAAAAGGUUUGAAAAUAUAAUCACAGGUCAUAGUCAGUUAUUACUCUAGCACACCAGAUGUUCCCUCUUGCUAAAGCUGCAGCAGCUGCACAAAUACCUGAUAGUCAUUUUCUCCUGUUGCAGAUGUAAUUAAGAGGUUUAAAAUAAGGUUUAUUUUUGGAUUUAUUGCACUUCAUAUAGCUCCCACUAGGCUUUUUCAACAUUAUAUUUCGUGCUGAUAAUGCAGGAACGCAGCUUCAUUUCAUUCUGUAACCAAAUAUAGCUUCUAUAUCCUGACAUUAUUGUAUGCAUAAUGAGGAUCUACAAAAAAAAACAGGACUGUACUGAUAUAUUACCUUUCAUGACUUUGCAGAAUUCGUAUUCUGAAGGGGGUCAACAUUCAAACAUUAUGAACAUUACCCAACUGUGACCCAGAUUAAAGAUACACUAAUAACUAAAGAAAUACAAAGAUGGUGGUGGAAUUGUGAGGCUGGCAUCUGGACAUGAUCCAGCACAGGCAAAUGGCAGUCCAUAGCAAUCCCUCUUCAACCAGACCAUGAGGAAGACAACGAGGGAGGCAAAGGAGACAAUAUCAGGACCGAGGAGGAAAGUGCUGAAGCAAAGGAGAUGAAGACAAAGACCCCCUCCAUCCCCCAUUUUUUCACUCCGCCCAAUAAAUCCUAUUUCCAUAUCACUGCA